rnacentral:hammerhead_ribozyme from 1 species
GUCCAGAUGACGAGUCUCAAACAGGACGAAACGCGCGUCCCGGAU